AAUAAACCCUACAUUGUCUCCUCUUUCCUGUGAUUCUGGAGGAGCCCUUUUGAAGCAUUCCCCCUCUUUGGUGGACCAUGAUAAGUUUUUUUUAUGCAGAUCAGUUCCUUCACCUGGCAUUUCUGGAGCUCCCCAGAAUUCCUACCAACACAGAUGAUACUAAAAAGGGAAGGCCAUGUGCAGGAUUUGGAGGCUGCUUGCCACUCAAAAUACAGCCAGGAGAAACCCACGUCAAGUCACAGACUUUUCUAUAGCCAAGGACUCUAUGCCUCCUAAAAAGGACUGCAGGCCUCAUCAGAUUGUGAGGGAAGGCAGAUUCACUGCAAAGACAAUCCACUGCAUGGAGACACUGCAAUGGGCUGGAAGAUUGGGAUAGAAAUACUUUUAUGAGGUUUAACAAUGGUAUAUGGAAAGUACUACA